rnacentral:rRNA from 1 species
CCUACGGGUGACAGCAGUAGGGAAUAUUGCUCAAUGGGGGAAACCCUGAAGCAGCCACGCCGCGUGGAGGAUGAAGGUUUUCGGAUUGUAAACUCCUUUUGUUAGAGAAGAUAAUGACGGUAUCUAACGAAUAAGCACCGGCUAACUCCGUGCCAGCAGCCGCGGUAAUACGGAGGGUGCAAGCGUUACUCGGAAUCACUGGGCGUAAAGGGCGCGUAGGCGGGAUAGCAAGUCAGAUGUGAAAUCCUAUGGCUUAACCAUAGAACUGCAUUUGAAACUGUUAUUCUAGAGUAUGGGAGAGGUAGGUGGAAUUCGUGGUGUAGGGGUAAAAUCCGUAGAGAUCAAGAGGAAUACUCAUUGCGAAGGCGACCUGCUAGAACAUAACUGACGCUGAUGCGCGAAAGCGUGGGGAGCAAACAGGAUUAGAUACCCCAGUAGUC